CCUACGGGAGGCUGCAGUGGGGAAUAUUGCGCAAUGGGCGAAAGCCUGACGCAGCGACGCCGCGUGAGGGAUGAAGGUCUUCGGAUCGUAAACCUCUGUCAGCAGGGAAGAACGGUCACUGUGCUAAUCAGCAGUGAAUUGACGGUACCUGCAAAGGACGCACCGGCUAACUCCGGGCCAGCCGCCGCGGUAAUACGGAGGGUUCGGGAGUUAAUCGGAAUUACUGGGCGUAAAGGGAUCGUAGGCGGUAUGUCAAGUUAAGGGUGAAAUCCCCGCGCUCAACGUGGGAAUUGCCUUUGAAACUGGCAAACUGGAGUGUGCGGGAGGAAGGCGGAAUUCCAGGUGUAGGAGUGAAAUGCGUAGAUA
rnacentral:rRNA from 1 species